rnacentral:rRNA from 1 species
GGGGAAUUUUGCGCAAUGGGCGAAAGCCUGACGCAGCGACGCCGCGUGGGUGAUGAAGGCCCUCGGGUUGUAAAGCCCUGUGGGGAGGGAAGAAUAAGGGUAUGUAAAUAGCAUAUCUGAUGACGGUACCUCCUUAGCAAGCACCGGCUAACUCUGUGCCAGCAGCCGCGGUAAGACAGAGGGUGCAAACGUUGUUCGGAAUUACUGGGCGUAAAGCGCGUGUAGGCGGUUGUGCAAGUCGGAUGUGAAAGCCCUUGGCUCAACUGAGGAAGAGCAUUCGAAACUGCGCAGCUUGAGUUCUGGAGAGGAUGGUGGAAUUCUCGGUGUAGAGGUGAAAUUCGUAGAUAUCGAGAGGAACACCAGUGGCGAAGGCGGCCAUCUGGACAGAAACUGACGCUGAGACGCGUAAGCGUGGGUAGCAAAC